AAAAGCGCGUUCCGUGCUUAAAAGCGCCCGCCGUGCGUAAAAGCCCGCCCCGUGCGUAAAGCGCAUAUCGUAAGUAAAAGCGCACGCCGUGCGUAAAUUAUCUUACCGCGUGUAAAAACGCAUUCCGUGAGUAUUGAUUGUAUGCCUCAAGACUCUGGUCCCUUGAUUUCCAAAUGAAAUGCACAAUUUACUGAUGGUCAGGGAUGGUUUGGAGAUCUGCUUGUCAUCUGCUAUGUUGAUCCACUGUGUUAUAUCAAGUCUAAAGUCAGUGCAGUGAAAAUCUUACAGCACUGUAAUUUUCUGACACAUUUUGAGCUGAUUUCCCAGUGUAAUAAAAACGAAUCCAACCCCUAGAGCUUGUCUGAUAAUAACUAUUGUUAUAAAAGAGCAUGUGCUGCAUAAAACCACUUUUAAACGCUCAUCUAGGGGCGAGGAGGAAAACAGAAGAACGAGAUAAAGGAGGAAGCAGAAUAACAAACACUAAUGCAAAACAGACAAAUUUAUUACUGAAACAGCAAAGAAAUUGAAACUAUGCAUAUAAACCAAAUCCAAUGAAUAUAAAGGAAAUACUAUACCUUAAACACAAGAUGAUAAACUAAAGUAAUACUUGUGGGUGGACAAAGGACGGUGCAAAUGAAAGAAAAACAGUAAAAGCAAUCUUAAAACUACUUAACCCGCAACUAAACUAACAAAAACACAAAAGUAGCACCCGCCCCCAGCCUAGUGUCGCUAGAGAGACAUUUUUCCUAUACGAAAAAGGCUCCCAACCAAACCUGUCCACUGAAGAAACCUAAACAAGGGACACAAAUAUCACAGGUGACAAACUAAGUAAUGAAUAUUGAUUAUAAAGGUGACUUCUAUUUAAGGGGGACUUUUAUUUUGGCUGCAAAUGAGCUACAGCUGUGACUUUGAACGGAACUAUUUAAUAGGAUCGAAAGAGGCCACCUGGAGAGCGGAAGUGUUGGACGAGGGACGCUGCACGCCGACGCUGUUCGGGGCUCUCACAAAUACAGGGCAGGGUAGUGAUAGCGAGGCGUUGGCCGAGGAACGGCUCGCGCUCACUGAACUGGAAGUCGAGUGAAUCAAGUGGCUGCUGGUUGAAUCACUGACCGGGAAGGUGGAUCGAGUGCUGGGAAACCACGUGGACCUGCAGGCGGGUGUGAGAACGUGAGAGACUCUAUUGUGGCGUUGUCUGCUCUUGAGAGGCGUGUUGAGGAGAAGGAAUGGCGAAACCGCUCACCUAUCCGCUAGUUAAGUGCAAAAUUUUGUGAAUAGUGUUUGGUUUUAUUUGGCUUGAUUUAUAUUAUUUUUUUGUAAUUGAACUUUGGGGCGCUUGUGCUGUUUUGCAGGUUUAAUUUUCAACUAAAUUUGUAAAUGUGUUUUUUCCUUUCUUCUUUUGUUUGUCCGUGGUGGAGCUGACCAAGAACUUUUAUGUUGACUGUUUUUUAUUUCCCUCCUUGAACAGAUACCAAGGGUUUGGACUAAAUUCUGCAGAACUGAAGUUUUUCUUUAUAUUUUAAAUGGAUAUUUCUUUUAAUUGUUCAAUAAAUGAUUGUGAGACUUU